GCGCGCGCGCGGGGUGUGUGUAGUGUGCGAGGGAGAGAAAGAGGAGACGGCGUCGUGCGCACACGCUGCCACAUUAAAAAAAACACGGAAAUAUAUUUAAAUUGUGUUAUGUUAUACCCGGUAACCUUUCACACAGACGAGCUUGUUUUAGGUAUUGAUUGAUUGAUUGGCAAACUGAGCACCGGAGUUACUGUUUUGGUUUUUUUGGGGGGGGAGCUGUGUGGAAUCAAGUUGCUCACUCAACAAAAAAAAAGAAAAAAGAAGACUGGUGGACAAUAAAUAAAACUCUGGAUUUACCCCCCUUUACCCCUCCUCCUAUAAAACUUUAUUUAGUUAGCUAAAAGUGUUUAGCUAACUAAAUAAGAAAGUUUUUCCCCCUUUUUUGCUGCUUUGGCGUCCGCUAUGUCUGGAAGCGAGGACGACAGAGAUGAUUACGGAGCCCCGGAGGACCGAUUAAUACACGAUGAUGAAGAAGAGGAGAUCUCCGAGAGCGAAACUCCGAAGGUGAAGAAGAAGAAGAAGGCCAAGAAGAGUAAAGAGAGCAAGGGCAGCAAGAGGCGGUCGAGAAGAGAAGUAAGAGCUGUGACUCUGUGUGUGUGUGUGUGUGUGUGUGUGUGUGUGUGUGUGUGUGUGUGUGUGUGUGUGUGUGUGUGUGUG